AUUGAACGCUGGCGGCAGGCCUAACACAUGCAAGUCGAACGGUAACAGGAAGCAGCUUGCUGCUUCGCUGACGAGUGGCGGACGGGUGAGUAAUGUCUGGGAAACUGCCUGAUGGAGGGGGAUAACUACUGGAAACGGUAGCUAAUACCGCAUAACGUCGCAAGACCAAAGAGGGGGACCUUAGGGCCUCUUGCCAUCGGAUGUGCCCAGAUGGGAUUAGCUAGUAGGUGGGGUAAUGGCUCACCUAGGCGACGAUCCCUAGCUGGUCUGAGAGGAUGACCAGCCACACUGGAACUGAGACACGGUCCAGACUCCUACGGGAGGCAGCAGUGGGGAAUAUUGCACAAUGGGCGCAAGCCUGAUGCAGCCAUGCCGCGUGUAUGAAGAAGGCCUUCGGGUUGUAAAGUACUUUCAGCGGGGAGGAAGGGAGUAAAGUUAAUACCUUUGCUCAUUGACGUUACCCGCAGAAGAAGCACCGGCUAACUCCGUG
rnacentral:rRNA from 1 species